rnacentral:rRNA from 1 species
GUGGGGAAUAUUGGACAAUGGGGGCAACCCUGAUCCAGCCAUGCCGCGUGUGUGAAGAAGGCCUUUUGGUUGUAAAGCACUUUAAGCGAGGAGGAGGCUUACCUGGUUAAUACCUGGGAUAAGUGGACGUUACUCGCAGAAUAAGCACCGGCUAACUCUGUGCCAGCAGCCGCGGUAAUACAGAGGGUGCAAGCGUUAAUCGGAUUUACUGGGCGUAAAGCGCGCGUAGGUGGCUAAUUAAGUCAAAUGUGAAAUCCCCGAGCUUAACUUGGGAAUUGCAUUCGAUACUGGUUAGCUAGAGUAUGGGAGAGGAUGGUAGAAUUCCAGGUGUAGCGGUGAAAUGCGUAGAGAUCUGGAGGAAUACCGAUGGCGAAGGCAGCCAUCUGGCCUAAUACUGACACUGAGGUGCGAAAGCAUGGGGAGCAAACAGGAUUAGAUACCCUAGUAGUCC